rnacentral:lncRNA from 1 species
CCGAAAUUCCUUCUUCUCUCUCCGAAAUUCCUUCUUCUGAGAGUCAUCGUGUUCUUCUAAUUACAGAGUGAUACACGAAAGUGGUUCAUGAAAUAUCAUGAUAAGGUAAAAGGUAGUGCUUCCAACUCUUCUAAUUUGGCUAAACCUUCUUCCGAUGAUUUAUUCUGGUGUUUGGUUCAAUACUUCAAUGCUUCUGUCAAUUUGAAAAUUAUUUGUAGGUCUUUCUUGAUUGAAUUCACUACACUUAGGUAACUUACGCUUCUACCUCUCUUCCAAAUUCCAUAUCUAACAUUCUUCCGAUGAUAAACCCCAGCUCCACAAAACGGUGAGUUUUGUGUUUUAUUUUUCUCCUUUAAAAUGAAAUGUGUUACGUGCCUAUCGAGUUAGAAUUCAAUUGAAUGGAAUAACUAAAUUUAAAGAAUGCAAGAUUUUGAUUCUUGCAUUCUUUUUACAUGAUUGCAUGCCCACUGAAACGUGUUUUGCUUCUUGCAUUCUUUUUAUAUGCUGUUUGGACUUUGGAAGGUGUUUUCAGCAGAAUUCACCCUAAUUGCGAAAGGGAAUUGGAACUGAUUUAAGAAGAGUACAAAAUCAUAAAGCUUCUAUCACUAGUAUCCCUACACGUUACCUGCAAUAUGCCAUUGAGAUCAGAUCAAAAAAAUUCAUGCAAUGUAAAUAAACUAUAAAUAUACUCUUUCCUUACAUAUUUUCCUAACCAUUAUUACAGCCUUUUGCAUUUUGGAAGAAAAUGGAAAUUUGGUUUUAUGGCCUGGAUCGUGAUGGGUAGUUAAAUGGGUCUAAACAUGGUAACUUAGGCUUCUACCUCUCUUCCAAAUUCUAUACCUAAGCUUCUUCCGGUGAUAAACCCCAGCCCCACAAAAUGGUGAGUUUUAUGUUUUACUUUUCUACUUUAAAAUGAAAUGUGUUACGUGCCUAUCAAGUUAGAGGGUAGGUUUACUUUCUCAAUUCAAUGGAAGAACUAAAUUUAAAGAAUGCAAGAUUUUGAUUCUUGCAUUCUUUUUACAUGUCUGCACGCCCACUGAUAUAAUUGAUGGAUUAUUUAA